AUUGAACGCUGGCGGCAGGCCUAACACAUGCAAGUCGAGCGGAUGAAGGAAGCUUGCUUCCCGAUUUAGCGGCGGACGGGUGAGUAAUGCCUAGGAAUCUGCCUAUUAGUGGGGGAUAACGUUCCGAAAGGAACGCUAAUACCGCAUACGUCCUACGGGAGAAAGUGGGGGAUCUUCGGACCUCACGCUAAUAGAUGAGCCUAGGUCGGAUUAGCUAGUUGGUGAGGUAACGGCUCACCAAGGCGACGAUCCGUAGCUGGUCUGAGAGGAUGAUCAGCCACACUGGAACGGAGACACGGUCCAGACUCCUACGGGAGGCAGCAGUGGGGAAGAUUGGACAAUGGGCGAAAGCCUGAUCCAGCCAUGCCGCGUGUGUGAAGAAGGUCUUCGGAUUGUAAAGCACUUUAAGUUGGGAGGAAGGGUUGUAAGCUAAUAUCUUGCAGCUUUGACGUUACCAACAGAAUAAGCACCGGCUAACUCUGUGCCAGCAGCCGCAGUAAAAC
rnacentral:rRNA from 1 species